rnacentral:rRNA from 1 species
GACGAACGCUGGCGGCGUGCCUAACACAUGCAAGUCGAACGGUGAAGCUCCAGCUUGCUGGAGUGGAUGAGUGGGGAAGGGGUGAGUAAGACGUGAGCAACCUGCCCCUGACUCUGGAAUAAGCGCUCGAAACGGCGUCUAAUAUAGGAUACGAGAAGGGUCAGCAUGGGCACUAUCUGGAAAGUUUUGCGGUUGGGGAUGGACUCGCGGCCUAUCAGCUUGUUGGUGAGGUAGUGGCUCACCAAGGCGACGACUGGUAGCCCGCCUGAGAGGGCGACCGGCCACACUGGGACUGAGGCACGGAGCAGUCGGGUACGGGAGGCAGCAGUGGGGAAUAUUGCACAGUGGGCGAGAGCCUGAUGCAGCGACGCCGCGUUAGGGAUGACGGCUUUCGGGGUGUAAACCUCUGUCAGCAGGGAAGAAGCGAAAGUGACGGUACCUGCAGAAGAAGCACCGGCUAACUACGUG